CAACUCAUUAAAAUUUAAAGAUAUAUUUGAAUCCAUAAUAUUAAGAACCUAUUCGCGAGAAAGAUCGCUUUAUUAGCUCCGACCAUAGUGCAAACUUAGCUAAAAAACAUCGAUAGGAAUUAUUAGCCUAAGUUGCGAUAAUCGAAGAUCGAUUGCCUAACUGAUCUAAGGUACCUAACAGGGAGAAAACAUAACCUAAACUAGUGCGAACACCAAGAUUGUAAGUAGACACUGCAGUUAGUACAAAUCA